AUUUUAUCUAACCCUAACCUUUACCUAACCUGCUGCGUAAAGUCAUUUCUGUUCAUAGCUGUACUCCAUAUAGUCUCAACCUUUGAAUCUUCAUACCAAGAUGGGAAAGUGAGGCCCAUUGCCUCUUGGGUAUUAUCGGGUGAACCUCAAUGAAAGGUCACAUACCAAGAUGGGAAAGUGAGGCCCAUUGCCUCUUGGGUAUUAUCAGGUGAACCUCAAUGAAAGGUCACAUAAGAUGGGAAAGUGAGGCCCAUUGCCUCUUGGGUAUUAUCAGGUGAACCUCAAUGAAAGGUCACAUACCAAGAUGGGAAAGUGAGGCCCAUUGCCUCUUGGGUAUUAUCGGGUGAACCUCAAUGAAAGGUCACAUACCAAGAUGGGAAAGUGAGGCCCAUUGCCUCUUGGGUAUUAUCGGGUGAACCUCAAUGAUACGUCACAUAACAAGGAAGUGUCAUCUAUACAACAAUCAUUGAAAAAUAAAAUCCCCACACUUUCC